rnacentral:rRNA from 1 species
AAAUUGAAGAGUUUGAUCAUGGCUCAGAUUGAACGCUGGCGGCAGGCCUAACACAUGCAAGUCGAACGGUAACAGGAAGAAGCUUGCUUCUUUGCUGACGAGUGGCGGACGGGUGAGUAAUAUCUGGGAAACUGCCUGAUGGAGGGGGAUAACUACUGGAAACGGU